AGUCGACGAUGAGCCCAGCUUGCUGGGUGGAUUAGUGGCGAACGGGUGAGUAACACGUGAGUAACCUGCCCUUGACUCUGGGAUAAGCGUUGGAAACGACGUCUAAUACCGGAUACGAGCUUCCACCGCAUGGUGAGUUGCUGGAAAGAAUUUUGGUCAAGGAUGGACUCGCGGCCUAUCAGCUUGUUGGUGAGGUAAUGGCUCACCAAGGCGACGACGGGUAGCCGGCCUGAGAGGGUGACCGGCCACACUGGGACUGAGACACGGCCCAGACUCCUACGGGAGGCAGCAGUGGGGAAUAUUGCACAAUGGGCGAAAGCCUGAUGCAGCAACGCCGCGUGAGGGACGACGGCCUUCGGGUUGUAAACCUCUUUUAGCAGGGAAGAAGCGAAAGUGACGGUACCUGCAGAAAAAGCACCGGCUAACUACGUGCCAGCAGCCGCGGUAAUACGUAGGGUGCAAGCGUUGUCCGGAAUUAUUGGGCGUAAAGAGCUCGUAGGCGGUUUGUCGCGUCUGCUGUGAAAUCCCGAGGCUCAACCUCGGGUCUGCAGUGGGUACGGGCAGACUAGAGUGCGGUAGGGGAGAUUGGAAUUCCUGGUGUAGCGGUGGAAUGCGCAGAUAUCAGGAGGAACACCGAUGGCGAAGGCAGAUCUCUGGGCCGCUACUGACGCUGAGGAGCGAAAGGGUGGAGAGCAAACAGGCUUAGAUACCCUGGUAGUCCACCCCGUAAACGUUGGGCGCUAGAUGUGGGGACCAUUCCACGGUUUCCGUGUCGUAGCUAACGCAUUAAGCGCCCCGCCUGGGGAGUACGGCCGCAAGGCUAAAACUCAAAGGAAUUGACGGGGGCCCGCACAAGCGGCGGAGCAUGCGGAUUAAUUCGAUGCAACGCGAAGAACCUUACCAAGGCUUGACAUAUACGAGAACGGGCCAGAAAUGGUCAACUCUUUGGACACUCGUAAACAGGUGGUGCAUGGUUGUCGUCAGCUCGUGUCGUGAGAUGUUGGGUUAAGUCCCGCAACGAGCGCAACCCUCGUUCUAUGUUGCCAGCACGUAAUGGUGGGAACUCAUGGGAUACUGCCGGGGUCAACUCGGAGGAAGGUGGGGACGACGUCAAAUCAUCAUGCCCCUUAUGUCUUGGGCUUCACGCAUGCUACAAUGGCCAGUACAAAGGGCUGCAAUACCGUAAGGUGGAGCGAAUCCCAAAAAGCUGGUCCCAGUUCGGAUUGAGGUCUGCAACUCGACCUCAUGAAGUCGGAGUCGCUAGUAAUCGCAGAUCAGCAACGCUGCGGUGAAUACGUUCCCGGGCCUUGUACACACCGCCCGUCAAGUCAUGAAAGUCGGUAACACCCGAAGCCAGUGGCCUAACCGCAAGGAUGGAUCCAG
rnacentral:rRNA from 1 species